AUUGAACGCUGGCGGAAUGCUUUACACAUGCAAGUCGAACGGUAGAGGGGGCAACCCCUCGAGAGUGGCGAACGGGUGAGUAAUAUAUCGGAACGUGCCCAGUCGUGGGGGAUAACGUAGCGAAAGUUACGCUAAUACCGCAUACGAUCUAAGGAUGAAAGCGGGGGAUCGCAAGACCUCGCGCGAUUGGAGCGGCCGAUAUCAGAUUAGGUAGUUGGUGGGGUAAAGGCUCACCAAGCCAACGAUCUGUAGCUGGUCUGAGAGGACGACCAGCCACACUGGAACUGAGACACGGUCCAGACUCCUACGGGAGGCAGCAGUGGGGAAUUUUGGACAAUGGACGCAAGUCUGAUCCAGCCAUUCCGCGUGCAGGAUGAAGGCCCUCGGGUUGUAAACUGCUUUUGUACGGAACGAAAAGACUCUGGUUAAUACCUGGGGUCCAUGACGGUACCGUAAGAAUAAGCACCGGCUAACUACGUGCCAGCCGCCGCGGUAA
rnacentral:rRNA from 1 species